rnacentral:tRNA from 1 species
GAAUUAGAAACCACUAAAAAAGCUUCUAACUUUAUUAGAAGCAGUGAAACUCUGUUUAUAAUUCC